rnacentral:lncRNA from 1 species
GAACAAGCUCUGGCUGAUAUAGGCAGAAAAGGAAUCAUUAGGGGAUCCUGAGUGGCUCACUACACGGGUCACAGAGUUGCAGGACAUUUGGGAAACCAGGCUCAUGAAAGAAGCAAAACCAGAACCAUAUCAGAGGAACAUCUGAUCAAGCACCACUCCCCACUGACACUGGACCUUGGAGAAAGUCACCCUAGUACCCUGGAAAUCAAAUGCUGACACAGUGGCAGCCACCACUAGAACGAGGUCUCCACUUCCCCUCUCAAGGGAAUUCCCUUCUCCUCACCUCUGGAGCAAUCUGGAGGCUAAACAGAAAGGAUACCUACACAUUAGAGAGAGUCUUGGAAAUCUCAUAAUCCCAGUUCAAAAGGCACCACCCAGCAACAGCUUAAUGAGCAUCGCCCCUGCCCCAAGACGGGAUCCAGAGGACUCUGUGAAGGUGGCAGGUUCAAGCAUGUAAGGACUCUGAAAGUCCCCGAGACCUCUCCAACAGCCCCAGAGAAGAUCUAGAAAUUCCAACUCGUUAUGAGCUGACAGAAAGGCUGAUGUGCUGCGGAAGGGGUUGGUACCGGGACCUUGGAUCAGAGGCUUUGCAGGGUUGGGUCCAUGAGGGGUCCAAAGAGAAACAGUUAUGUCUCAACGAGGAUGCAGUGCAUGAGUGGGGCUUGGUAAAAACUCCAUGUAGUGAAUAAAGGGCUUCACUAAUAAAUUCUCUUAUUAAUCCCAAACUGUAGGCUACAUCCAAGAUUCUGUGAUCAUGUUCGUGUGUUUGGCUCUUCCCCUGAAAAAUUAGCUCUUGUUUGGCUUUGCUUCCAAUAGUAAGUGUUCC